rnacentral:tRNA from 4 species
GGAGAGCUGGCCGAGUGGCCGAAGGCGCUCCCCUGCUAAGGGAGUAUGGGGUGAAACUCAUCGAGGGUUCGAAUCCCUCGCUCUCCGCCA